AGUCCAUGUGAUAUGAAUUUUUUGAAAGCUAUGAAGAUGUCUAAAUUAUAUCAUAAGGUUAGUUGAUUGUAUCACAUGGAAGUGUGAUUCAACUGGAAAGCCCUUGAAAUAUCUUAUUUGUCUCAUUAUUAUGAAAAUUGUUUAUAUCCAAAGUUUUAGACCAUACUUUCAUAUUCUUUCCAAGGCACACUCUUUAGACAUAUCUAUUUCACCAACAAUCUAAUUGUUUUAAAUAAAUUUCAGAUAGCUGACACUAAGAUGCAAGUUCAUAAAAUGUGUCAGUUAAAUGCAUCAAAUUUAUAUUAUCUGCAAAGUAGCAUGCUGCUAUGGUUUCCAAAUUUCAGCUCGUUGUUAUGAGCUGUAAACUCACAUUUCACACUGGAAUAUUCAGUUACUUAGAAA